CCUACGGGAGGCAGCAGUGGGGGAUAUUGCACAAUGGGGGAAACCCUGAUGCAGCGACGCCGCGUGGGUGAAGAAGCGCCUCGGCGCGUAAAGCCCUGUCAGCAGGGAAGAAAAUGACGGUACCUGAAGAAUAAGCCCCGGCUAACUACGUGCCAGCAGCCGCGGGACUACGUAGGGGGCAAGCGUUAUCCGGAUUUACUGGGUGUAAAGGGGGCGCAGACGGCGAUGCAAGCCAGGAGUGAAAGCCCGGGGCCCAACCCCGGGACUGCGCUUGGAACUGCGUGGCUAGAGUGCAGGAGGGGCAGGCGGAAUUCCUGGUGUAGCGGUGAAAUGCGUAGAUAUCAGGAGGAACACCGGUGGCGAAGGCGGCCUGCUGGACUGCAACUGACGUUGAGGCCCGAAAGCGUGGGGAGCAAACAGGAUUAGAUACCCGAGUAGUC
rnacentral:rRNA from 1 species